CGUGCUGGUUCGAUCGGGAUACUCAUCAAUUUAAUACUUACUACCGAGACAAGUUUCGCUUACCAAUGGCGUGCCAUCCCUUUAUGGUUAGGUGGAUUACAAAGGUAGGCGGACCCUCAAAACCUGAUUUUCGGAGUUUCAUCACAUCACCAGUGCGCCCCUUUU
rnacentral:sRNA from 1 species